ACCUGGCUGGCUCAGUCAGUAAAGCAUGUGACUCUUGAUCUCAGGGUUGUGAGUUUGAGCCCCAUGUUGGGUA
rnacentral:tRNA from 1 species